GGAAAGGUGACUGAGUGGCUAAAAGUGAUGGUUUGCUAAACCUUUGUGUAUUAAUAAUAAUGCACCAUGGGUUCGAAUCCCAUUCUUUCUU
rnacentral:tRNA from 1 species